CCUACGGGUGGCAGCAGUGAGGAAUCUUGGUCAAUGGGCGCGAGCCUGAACCAGCCAAGUCGCGUGAGGGAAGACGGUCCUAUGGAUUGUAUACCUCUUUUGCCGGGGAGCAAAAGACGCCACGCGUGGCGUUACGAGAGUACCCGAAGAAAAAGCAUCGGCUAACUCCGUGCCAGCAGCCGCGGUUAUACGGGGGAUGCGAGCGGUAGCCGGAUGUAUUGGGGUUAAAGGGUGCGCAGGCGGAAGAUCAAGUCGGCGGUAAAAUUGAGAGGCUCAACCUCUUCGAGCCGUUGAAACUGGUUGUCGUGAGUGAGCGAGAAGUAUGCGGAAUGCGUGGUGUAGCGGUGAAAGGCAUAGAUAUCACGCAGAACUCCGAGUGCGAAGGCAGCAUACCGGCGCUCAACUGACGCUCAUGCACGAAAGUGUGGGUAUCGAACAGGAUUAGAUACCCCAGUAGUC
rnacentral:rRNA from 1 species